rnacentral:rRNA from 1 species
GAGAUGUGGGUAGUCCGCACGAGCGCACCUCGCCUUUAGUUGCCAUCAUUAAGUUGGGCACUCUAGAGGGACUGCCGGUGAUAAGCCGGAGGAAGGUGGGGAUGACGUCAAGUCCUCAUGGCCCUUAUGGGCUGGGCUACACACGUGCUACAAUGGCGCUGACAGAGGGCAGCUAGCUCGCGAGGUGGUGCUAAUCCUAUAAAGUUCUUCGUAGUCCGGAUUGGAGUCUGCAACUCGACUCCAUGAAGUUGGAAUUGCUAGUAAUCGCGGAUCAGCAUGCCGCGGUGAAUACGUUCUCGGGUCUUGUACACACCGCCCGUCACACCAUGGAAGUGGAUUGCACCAGAAGUAGAUAGUCUAACCUUAGGGAGGGCGUUUACCACGGUGUGCUUCAUGACUGGGGUGAAGUCGUAACAAGGUAGCCGUAGGGGAACCUGUGGCUGGAUCACCUCCUU